rnacentral:rRNA from 1 species
CAAUAGCGUAUAUUAAAGUUGUUGCAGUUAAAAAGCUCGUAGUUGGAUUUCUGGUAGGAGUGACCGUUCCGAACUUGAUUGUUCGUGUAUUGUGUUUUCUCCAGCCAUCCUUGUGGAGAACUUUUCUUGCAUUAAUUUGUAGGGAUUGGGACCCGCAUCGUUUACUGUGAAAAAAUUAGAGUGUUUAAAGCAGGCAAUCGCUUGAAUACAUUAGCAUGGAAUAAUAAGAUAGGACUUUGGUACUAUUUUGUUGGUUUGCAUGCCAAAUUAAUGAUCAACAGGAACAGUUUGAGGAUAUUCGUAUGAACAUGUCAGAGGUGAAAUUCUUGGAUUUUGAUCAGACGAACUACUGCGAAAGCAUUUAUCAAGGAUGUUUUCAUUAA